CACGUAGGGUGCGAGCGUUGUCCGGAAUUAUUGGGCGUAAAGAGCUCGUAGGCGGUGUGUCGCGUCGGCCGUGAAAACCUGCAGCUUAACUGUGGGCGUGCGGUCGAUACGGGCAUCACUGGAGUUCGGCAGGGGAGACUGGAAUUCCUGGUGUAGCGGUGAAAUGCGCAGAUAUCAGGAGGAACACCAGCGGCGGAAGGCGGCGCUCUGGGCUGGAACUGACGCUGAGGAGCGAAAGCGUGGGGAGCGAACAGG
rnacentral:rRNA from 1 species